rnacentral:misc_RNA from 1 species
AGCGGGACUGCAGCGUCGAUCAUCAACCCCAUCAACGAUCGAUCCACCCAUCAGAGACACAUACACCCAAAGGGAGGUGUCUACGUCAUUCACGCAGGCACACGCAUUCUUCGCGCAAAUCUCGAUCAGAGCGUAGCACAACGAUAGUGGGAGGGCGCUAGCCGGAGCGCAGCUGCACGGACAGGGUCCCUCUCUACGCCUCCUCCCCUGCCCCCUCACUCUUGCUGUUCCACAGCAUCAAAUGCGGCGGACUUCUCUGCCUUCCCUCUGCGCCGUUGGUGCUGUGUGGCACGCCAGUUUACGCAGUAGUAGCACAACAGCAGCAGGUGAGUGCCGCCCAGCGUGCGCACGCACCGGAAGCAGCUUUGCCCUUCGUAGUGCGGUCUGCAGCAACAGCAGCAACGGCGUCCAUGCGCACACUCCCCUGUGGGUGAGCUGUCGGCGCCUGUCCACCUCCGCGUGGCGACGGGCACCCGAGAUACGUGCUGGAGACGGCGGAGAGGACCCUUUUGCGUUCGAGUUCGACCCCAUGACCGGUGUGCGGCGCGAUGCAGCUGUCGAGACCGCGAAGAAAAGCUUGGAGUCCAUUGUGGAGGAGCUGGCCCCGCCCAACGCAUCCUCAGAGGUGCUUGCGAAAAUUCGCAGCUACCUGCAACAGCACCCUGUCGACACGCUCAUCCUGAAUACCGAAGUGCAGAUCACCCACAUCGAGAACCCCGACACCGGCGUCGAGGAGCGCGUGCGCCUGAGUCCAAUGGGCAUCAAGGACGCACUGAAGCAGGCGCAGCUGCGCAACAUGAACCUUGUUCGAAUGGGUGCCCGCGGCGACGACCUCGCCUACUGCCGCAUCCGCCGGGAGCGGCCAUGGGUGUGGAAGCUCGUGCAGCCCGAGAUGGACCUCGUGAACGGGCUGACCGGCACCCCAGCGUCGGAUGCUGCCGUAGCGGCGCAGAAACAGGAGCAGCAGGUGCACGACGCCUGCAGCGGGGACGGCCAGCCCAACCACCCGCGCCAGUACCUGGGAAAAACGAAGGAACUGGUCGAUCACGUCUUUCGCGACGCUGUCGACGCACACUUCAUCGGCUGGCGUAGCAAGAAGAUCGCGCAGGACAUCCGCAAGGGACACCCCGUGAAGCUGACCAUCCGCGAUUUUCAGAACCCGGAGGCGGCCGUGCACAAGCUGCGCGAGAUGAGCAACGCGGUGAAGAAGUACGCGGAGGAGCAGCACAUCUUCCACCACUUUACCAGCAUCGUCGCAAACGAUCGGGAGGCCAGCCUCACCCUUUCGCCACCGACAGCGAACAAGUCUGGGACCAUUUCAAAGACGGUGAAGCACCCGUCCGAAAAGGAGUGGACACACACACUCAAGAAGAUGGAGGAUGCGUGCCGGAAGGCGGGGCGGAGCGGGACCUACGUCAAGUCGAGCAAGCUGAAGAUGCGUAACGUGGGGGCCACGACGUACCGUGUGGACAAGUAUGGCCGCCGCAUUGACUAGGAAUGGUGUGGCGCGAAGGGCAAAGGAAUCGUCCAUGCACACAACAAC